rnacentral:tRNA from 3 species
GGGCCAGUAGUUCAACGGUAGAAUGUCUCAUUUGCAAUGAGAAGGUAGGCGGGUCAGUACCGCCCUGGUCCACCC